GACGAACGCUGGCGGCGUGCUUAACACAUGCAAGUCGAACGGAAAGGCCCUGCUUUUGUGGGGUGCUCGAGUGGCGAACGGGUGAGUAACACGUGAGUAACCUGCCCUUGACUUUGGGAUAACUUCAGGAAACUGGGGCUAAUACCGGAUAGGAGCUCCUGCUGCAUGGUGGGGGUUGGAAAGUUUCGGCGGUUGGGGAUGGACUCGCGGCUUAUCAGCUUGUUGGUGGGGUAGUGGCUUACCAAGGCUUUGACGGGUAGCCGGCCUGAGAGGGUGACCGGCCACAUUGGGACUGAGAUACGGCCCAGACUCCUACGGGAGGCAGCAGUGGGGAAUAUUGCACAAUGGGCGGAAGCCUGAUGCAGCAACGCCGCGUGCGGGAUGACGGCCUUCGGGUUGUAAACCGCUUUCGCCUGUGACGAAGCGUGAGUGACGGUAAUGGGUAAAGAAGCACCGGCUAACUACGUGCCAGCAGCCGCGGUGAUACGUAGGGUGCGAGCGUUGUCCGGAUUUAUUGGGCGUAAAGGGCUCGUAGAUGGUUGAUCGCGUCGGAAGUGUAAUCUUGGGGCUUAACCCUGAGCGUGCUUUCGAUACGGGGUGAUCUUGAGGAAGGUAGGGGAGAAAUGGAAUUUCCUGGUGGAGCGGUGGAAUGCGCAGAUAUCAGGAGGGAACACCAGUGGCGAAGGCGGUUCUCUGGGGCCUUUCCUGACGCUGAGGAGCGAAAGCGUGGGGAGCGAACAGGCUUAGAUACCCUGGUAGUCCACGCUGUAAACGGUGGGUACUAGGUGUGGGGUCCAUUCCACGGGUUCCGUGCCGUAGCUAACGCUUUAAGUACCCCGCCUGGGGAGUACGGUCGCAAGGCUAAAACUCAAAGGAAUUGACGGGGCCCCGCACAAGCGGCGGAGCAUGCGGAUUAAUUCGAUGCAACGCGUAGAACCUUACCUGGGUUUGACAUGGAUCGGGAGUGCUCAGAGAUGGGUGUGCCUCUUUUGGGGUCGGUUCACAGGUGGUGCAUGCCUGUCGUCAGCUCGUGUCGUGAGAUGUUGGGUUAAGUCCCGCAACGAGCGCAACCCUUGUUCACUGUUGCCAGCACGUUAUGGUGGGGACUCAGUGGAGACCGCCGGGGUCAACUCGGAGGAAGGUGGGGAUGACGUCAAGUCCUCAUGCCCCUUAUGUCCAGGGCUUCACGCAUGCUACAAUGGCUGGUACAGAGAGUGGCGAGCCUGUGAGGGUGAGCGAAUCUCGGAAAGCCGGUCUCAGUUCGGAUUGGGGUCUGCAACUCGACCUCAUGAAGUCGGAGUCGCUAGUAAUCGCAGAUCAGCAACGCUGCGGUGAAUACGUUCCCGGG
rnacentral:rRNA from 1 species